UUUAAGCCACGUGGCCUUGCUCUGUCGCCCAGGCUACAGUGCAGUCGUGUGAUGCCAUGCCAGGAAGGAGGUGACGCAAGCACGCCCUCGGCCACCCUAGCUGGUGUCUCACCAGGUUGUAUGCACCCCAAGUCCGCUGGCUCUAGACUGCCUUUCAAGUUUACUUAGGUCUCCAGAGCAACUUCACCCACACACGGGGCUACGGCUGCUCUAAAUGCUGCCUCCAGUGCACCAGCUGAGUUCUGCCCCGAGUGGCUUUCUGCUGUAACAGGGCAGCGCUGAGUUUCAAUGCAAUGUCCCACAAUCACUGUGCUCUCCCUCCCUCAGGCGGACAGACUCUUCCUUCACACCACGAGACCACUGCAGGGCACGACGGAAAGGCGGUGUCAGUGAAUCAAGGCUGCCUUUCCUACCUCAGUACCUCUUUCCUCAAUGGGAUCCUAAACCAGAGAAAAGAUAUGACUCAUAAAUAACAUUUAAGCCUGAAGUACACAACUUGUACAAGAUCUGUGGGGGAGCGUGAGAUGGAAAGACUGGGCCACAGCCGAGGGGGUCUGGGCCACUCCUGCCUGGUCCAUGCAUGGCUACUUGCAGGGCCACCAGGAGGAUCCACAGCCACAGCUUCCCAGAGAGAAGAGGAGGGGGAAGCCUGGGCAACUCUCCAUCACCAAGGAGGCGCAGUGCCUGGGGAAGAAGGCAUUCCAAGGAAACUGAUGACGACAAACUCUGCAAUCUACCUACAGGCAGGACGUGUUGGGAACUGCUGCCUAAAAACAGUAGCUCUCAGGUAGCCAGUCUUCCCCAGAAAAGGUUCCAGACCUUGUUCUUCCAUAAAUCUGGGGAGAGGGAAGGUGGUGCUAAGUCACAGGAGGAGCUACCUGCAGGUUUCAAGGUCUCUGUUUUUAACAUUCGGUAAGGAUUUGAAGGUCAUGGUAAAGCUUUCUGAUCCCUACCCUCUCUCAAAGAAAGUGUCUCAUGGGCAGAGAGACAGUUUUGGUUGGCAGCUUUGAAUCUGCCUGCUUGAGAUCCUGCAAACGUCAGGAUCAGCCCAUGCAGCCACCGACACCCAUGUGUACCCAACCCAACCCAGCCCAGCACGGCACGGUGUGGUGCAGCGCGACCCCACUGCCACACCCCUCUGCUAGGCCCCAACACCCAAGCUGGCCUGGCAGCCAGCUGGGACUCCUACCCUCUCCACACUCCACGGGGCAGGGGGAAGGCAGAGAACCUGGUGUCGGUGCAGGGACUCUGCUGUGUCCGUCUGUAGGCGUCACAAUCCGUGCUGUUUCCGUGCACGGGCCUCCGAUGGGCUUUCAGAGCAAAAGGCACAGAAAAGCAGCCUCUCUCCCACCCUCAGCAACACAGCACCAGCAAAGGGCACGCAAGGCCACGCGAAAAGGCAGGUGACGGCUCCACACGGGAGCUCGAGAGCCACAGCCUACGGCCCACUGCAGUCUGCUUCCUGGCCACACCCAGGAAAUCCACAAAAGGCGAGAGUCUUUUUCUGUCUCAAGGUAUUAGAAACUCUCCUCUCUUUUCAGACAGGUCCUCCAAUGGGGAUCCCAUGACAGCCGACUUCACAAGCACUUCCUACAGCCUUAUUAGACUUCCUGCAGCUUAGAAAUGCAAACAUGUCCUCAGACUAAUGUUAGAAUUAUUAGAACCAAAACCCUGAGUGACGGGCCUCUGCUCCCAAUACCCACACCCGCGGCGAACCACCGGCACAUCUUACCGUUGUUCACCUGGCCGUGGACCGCAGUGGGGGCUGGCGACACGUGAGUGCCGUUUUGUGUUACAGUUUUUAUUGGUAGCUGGUGUUGACCUAGAGGUGCCUGUUGUACUAUGGUCACCGUCUGGACCGGGGUGGUCUGUGCCGUCUGGAUGAUCCGGCUAGCAGUGCCUAGCGUGGCAUGGCCAAUGGCGGGAAUAGGCUCCACUUUCACUGAAAGGAAAAGGAAAAGAAACGCCACUAAUGUUACUACUGGAAAGCAGACAAAGGUCUUACCAGUUUAAAAUAUAAUCAGCAGAUGGUUAUCGGGCCUGCUAGAAGACGCCUCUAAAACAGCGCGAAUGAGAAAGGGUGAAGAACUCCUACGGGCGUCCCAGAGUGCGAGGCUGGAGGGAGCAGCCUCUCUGUGCCCACUGCCCACCUUUGACUUCCCUGUGAUCUCCGUUCUCCUGGGGCUCUGCCUUGGCAGGGGCCAGCACAGCUGCAGGGGCGACCACGGCUUGUCCAGAGACGGUGUACGUGCUCGCUGGGGCCAGCCCGGCCACGCCGGCGACCGACGCUGCUGGUAUCUGGUGGACGACGUGGACCGUCUGCACGGCGGGUGGCUGGGAGGUCGAGGUGGCCACCGGGGUGGCUACAGUGUAGGUGACAGGCUUGACGGCCUGCGGUAGCUGCCGCUGGACGGUGAUUAAGACUGGCUGACUGGACAGAGGUGACCCUGGUGAAAGACACGAGCAGGACCGACACUCACAGAUACUGACUUCCGCAAACACAGAUUCCCACACUAAGCACUGACAACACACAAACUUGAAUUUAAAAUACUGGGCGUGGCCCUAUUUUACCUCAUAAUAGCGAAGUUGCUAACGAUGAGGGAGGUGUCGUAUUUUAACAGGGGUAUUUAAUUCCCCUCUGUAACUCCUAAAAAGGCAAUUUUGGCUCUGUUUAGAUACCUCAUAACCCCUCUUCCUACAGUUCCUUUUUCAUAAAAAAAGAAAAUGUCAAUACACAACA